GAUGAACGCUGGCGGCGUGCUUAACACAUGCAAGUCGAACGGUGAAGCAGGAGCUUGCUCCUGUGGAUCAGUGGCGAACGGGUGAGUAACACGUGAGCAAUCUGCCCUGGACUCUGGGAUAAGCGUUGGAAACGACGUCUAAUACCGGAUACGAGGCGUGGGGGCAUCCCCAACGCCUGGAAAGAACUUCGGUCCAGGAUGAGCUCGCGGCCUAUCAGGUAGUUGGUGAGGUAACGGCUCCCCAAGCCUACGACGGGUAGCCGGCCUGAGAGGGGGACCGGCCACACUGGGACUGAGACACGGCCCAGACUCCUACGGAAGGCAGCAGUGGGGAAUAUUGCACGAUGGGGGCAAGCCUGAUGCAGCAACGCCGCGUGAGGGACGACGGCCUUCGGGUUGUAAACCUCUUUUAGCAGGGAAGAAGCGAAAGUGACGGUACCUGCAGAAAAAGCACCGGCUAACUACGUGCCAGCCGCCGCCGUAACAC
rnacentral:rRNA from 1 species